UACGGAGGGGGCUAGCGUUAAUCGGAAUCACUGGGCGUAAAGCGCGCGUAGGCGGCUAUUUAAGCUAGAUGUGAAAGCCCCGGGCUCAACCUGGGAACUGCAUUUAGAACUGGCAGGCUUGAGUAUGGCAGAGGAGUGUGGAAUUUCCGGUGUAGCGGUGAAAUGCGUAGAGAUCGGAAGGAACACCAGUGGCGAAGGCGACACUCUGGGCCAAUACUGACGCUGAGGUGCGAAAGCGUGGGGAGCAAACAGG
rnacentral:misc_RNA from 1 species